rnacentral:misc_RNA from 1 species
UCUAAUAGUAAUCAAGUUGAGUCGAGCCAAGUCAAGCUUGAGUAUUUCAAGUAUCCCAUCAAAUUGAGCUCGAGCAUGAAAAAUAAAAUUCAAUUUCAUUUUGAGCAUUCAUUUUUCUAAUCGAGUUGAAUUUGAAAUAGUACACUGUAUUAACUCUAUUUACACCAGCUAAAGAGGAUAGAAAAGAUCCUAAAAUGAGGGAUUAUUUUGAACAUAAAUGUAUCAUACUAGAUGGCAUAUAGCAAUUG